GAUGAACGCUGGCGGCGUGCCUAAUACAUGCAAGUCGAGCGAACGGACGAGAAGCUUGCUUUUCUGAUGUUAGCGGCGGACGGGUGAGUAACACGUGGAUAACCUACCUAUAAGACUGGGAUAACUUCGGGAAACCGGAGCUAAUACCGGAUAAUAUUUUGAACCGCAUGGUUCAAAAGUGAAAGACGGUCUUGCUGUCACUUAUAGAUGGAUCCGCGCUGCAUUAGCUAGUUGGUAAGGUAACGGCUUACCAAGGCAACGAUGCAUAGCCGACCUGAGAGGGUGAUCGGCCACACUGGAACUGAGACACGGUCCAGACUCCUACGGGAGGCAGCAGUAGGGAAUCUUCCGCAAUGGGCGAAAGCCUGACGGAGCAGUGCCGCGUGAGUGAUGAAGGUCUUCGGAUCGUAAAACUCUGUUAUUAGGGAAGAACAUAUGUGUAAGUAACUGUGCACAUCUUGACGGUACCUAAUCAGAAAGCCACGGCUAACUACGUG
rnacentral:rRNA from 1 species